rnacentral:rRNA from 1 species
AGAGUUUGAUCCUGGCUCAGGAUGAACGCUAGCGGCAGGCUUAACACAUGCAAGUCGAGGGGCAGCACGGGUAGCAAUACUUGGUGGCGACCGGCGCAAGGGUGCGUAACGCGUGAGCAACAUGCCCGUAUCAGGGGGAUAAUCCAUGGAAACGUGGUCUAAUACCCCAUAGUAAAUUUUUGGGGCAUCUCAAAGAUUUUAAAGCUUUGGUGGAUACGGAUUGGCUCGCGUGACAUUAGCUAGAUGGUAAGGUAACGGCUUACCAUGGCUACGAUGUCUAGGGGUUCUGAGAGGAAGGUCCCCCACACUGGAACUGAGACACGGUCCAGACUCCUACGGGAGGCAGCAGUGAGGAAUAUUGGACAAUGGAUGGAAAUCUGAUCCAGCCAUGCCGCGUGCAGGAAGACGGCCCUAUGGGUUGUAAACUGCUUUUGUAUGGGAGCAAUAAGAUCUACGUGUAGAUUGAUGAGAGUACCAUACGAAUAAGCACCGGCUAACUCCGUGCCAGCAGCCGCGGUAAUACGGAGGGUGCAAGCGUUAUCCGGAUUUAUUGGGUUUAAAGGGUGCGUAGGCGGUUUGAUAAGUCAGCGGUGAAAUAUUUCAGCUUAACUGGAAGGGUGCCGUUGAUACUGUCGAGCUUGAAUUUAGUUGCUGUGGGUGGAAUGUGUGGUGUAGCGGUGAAAUGCAUAGAUAUCACACAAAAUAUCGAUUGCGAAGGCAGCUCACAAAGCUAAUAUUGACGCUGAUGCACGAAAGUGUGGGGAUCAAACAGGAUUAGAUACCCCGGUAGU